rnacentral:rRNA from 1 species
UACAUGUGGGGCAAGCGUUGUUCGGAAUUACUGGGCAUAAAGGGUGCGUAGGCGGGUCUUUAAGUCAGGGGUGAAAUCCUGGAGCUCAACUCCAGAACUGCCUUUGAUACUGAAGAUCUUGAGUUCGGGAGAGGUGAGUGGAACUGCGAGUGUAGAGGUGAAAUUCGUAGAUAUCCGCAAGAACACCAGUGGCGAAGGCGGCUCACUGGCCCGAUACUGACGCUGAGGCACGAAAGCGUGGGGAGCAAACAGG